AAACGAGUAAAUCUCAUCCUAAUCGGUAGCAUCCAAUACAGUUAUGCUACCGAUUCGGCUUGGGAUUAACUUGUGG
rnacentral:pre_miRNA from 1 species